rnacentral:rRNA from 1 species
UACGAAGGGGGCUAGCGUUGCUCGGAAUUACUGGGCGUAAAGGGCGCGUAGGCGGCGCAUUUAGUCAGGCGUGAAAGCCCUGGGCUCAACCUGGGGACUGCGCUUGAUACGGGUGUGCUAGAGGACGGAAGAGGGUCGCGGAAUUCCCAGUGUAGAGGUGAAAUUCGUAGAUAUUGGGAAGAACACCGGUGGCGAAGGCGGCGACCUGGUCCGUUACUGACGCUGAGGCGCGACAGCGUGGGGGGCAAACAGG